GACGAACGCUGGCGGCGUGCUUAACACAUGCAAGUCGAACGGAAAGGCCCUGCUUUUGUGGGGUGCUCGAGUGGCGAACGGGUGAGUAACACGUGAGUAACCUGCCCUUGACUUUGGGAUAACUUCAGGAAACUGGGGCUAAUACCGGAUAGGAGCUCCUGCUGCAUGGUGGGGGUUGGAAAGUUUCGGCGGUUGGGGAUGGACUCGCGGCUUAUCAGCUUGUUGGUGGGGUAGUGGCUUACCAAGGCUUUGACGGGUAGCCGGCCUGAGAGGGUGACCGGCCACCUUGGUCCUGAGAGACGGCCCAGACGCGUACGGGAGGCAGUAGUGGGGAAUAUGGCACAAUGGGCGGAAGCCUGAUGCAGCAACGCCGCGUGCGGGAUGCCGGCCUUCGGGUUGUAAACCGCUUUCGCCGGUGACGAAGCGUGAGUGACGGUAAUGGGUAAAGAAGCACCGGCUAACUACGUG
rnacentral:rRNA from 1 species